UCGACAUUUUGGCGGGUGAUGACGUCAAGGGCGGAACAAAGACUGACAGGUGUAGCUGAUCGCUCUAUAAAGGGGUGGCCGGCAGCCCUACACAUACACAAGGCAAGAAGUAUUCAAGUGUUCACCGUCUCAGCUACAACAUUACGAAGUUCAUCGACGUCUUAUAAAUAACUAAACACUUAUUCGGCCAAUUACUCGUUCCUUCUAUCUUCGGCGACAUUCCAGCCUAGAGGACCCGACAAGUAGCAUUGCAGAGAUGGAAGCGAGAAUGUUGGUAGUGGUGAUGUUGGUUGGUGCCGCCGUCCACUCACUCCCACACUCUAAAGUUAACACCCCUCCCCUGCCAUACCCUCAAGUUAAUGACCCUGUCCCACCACAAAUUACUGACAAUAGAUCUGACCUGAACGACCCUCAGGUUAAUGAGGUUGCCCUGCUAGACCCUGCAGUUAAUGCCGUUGCCCUGCCACACCAUGAAGUUAAUGCCCCUCCUGUGCCGAACACUGAUGCUAACAGUCCUGCACUACCUGACACUGCCCUUAUCAAGUCUACCAGGCCAGUAGUUCCAGGAGAGAUAAGUGUCAUUAUUGUAAAGGCAAGUGACACCGCAAAGAAGACAGGUAGCAUCCGGAGUGCUGUGACCACCACAACUCUCGACCCGUUUGAUGAGUACUGCAAAGAAGCGUGUGAGGAAGGCGUAGGAGGUCCUGAGUGUGACUGUCCUGACCACCCUAUUGGUUAGUGACCUCCUCCUUGACCUUACCCCCACCUUCUUGACCUGAACUGACCUCUGCCAUUACCUGGUUAAAUGAACUGUUACCAUAUUAAAUGUUAAAUAUUAUAUUAUGCAUAUAUUUUUCUGUACUAUAAAAUAUAUAUUGCAAGUAAAACUGUUGAAAUAAUGUUUGUAUUUGUAAUAUUAAGACAAUAAAUAUUAAGAGAAGAGUA